rnacentral:rRNA from 1 species
CAUACCGAAAGGUAUGCUAAUACGGGAUAAUAUAUUUGAGAGGCAUCUCUUGAAUAUCAAAGGUGAGCCAGUACAGGAUGGACCCGCGUCUGAUUAGCUAGUUGGUAAGGUAACGGCUUACCAAGGCGACGAUCAGUAGCCGACCUGAGAGGGUGAUCGGCCACAUUGGAACUGAGACACGGUCCAAACUCCUACGGGAGGCAGCAGUGGGGAAUAUUGCACAAGGGGCGAAAGCCUGAUGCAGCAACGCCGCGUGAGUGAUGAAGGCCUUCGGGUCGUAAAACUCUGUCCUCAAGGAAGAUAAUGACGGUACUUGAGGAGGAAGCCCCGGCUAACUACGUGCCAGCAGCCGCGGUAAUACGUAGGGGGCUAGCGUUAUCCGGAUUUACUGGGCGUAAAGGGUGCGUAGGCGGUCUUUCAAGUCAGGAGUGAAAGGCUACGG